rnacentral:rRNA from 1 species
CUACGGGAGGCAGCAGUGGGGAAUAUUGGACAAUGGGGGAAACCCUGAUCCAGCAAUGCCGCGUGUGUGAAGAAGGCCUGCGGGUUGUAAAGCACUUUCGGUUGGGAGGACUGCUUCUAGCACUAAUAUUGUUGGAAGUUGACGUUACCUUCAGAAGAAGCACCGGCUAACUCCGUGCCAGCAGCCGCGGUAAUACGGAGGGUGCAGGCGUUAAUCGGAAUUACUGGGCGUAAAGCGCGCGUAGGCGGCUAGAUCAGUCGGGUGUGAAAGCCCCGGGCUUAACCUGGGAACUGCAUCCAAUACUGUCUAGCUUGAGUACAGGAGAGGAGAGUGGAAUUCCACAUGUAGCGGUGAAAUGCGUAGAUAUGUGGAGGAACACCAAUGGCGAAGGCAGCUCUCUGGCCUGAUACUGACGCUGAGGUGCGAAAGCGUGGGGAGCAAACAGGAUUAGAUACCCGGGUAGUC